AUCUGGGCGGCGGAAUUCAGGAUGACGGGCGGCGUGUCUAUGCGCGUCGUCCGUCGUUUGAUAUUUCCGUCGCCGUCACACAGACGUCGCGACCCGUUUGUCGUCGGUCCCUGUUCGAAGGGGUCGCGUUCGAGCUCGUUGUGGGUACGCGUUAACGCGCGUACCUCACGGCGAAGGCGCGACUUUACCGGCCGACGACGGACGGUACGUACAAGGGUGUCCGACGCCGUUACGUACUCGUACACGCGGUCGUCGGUACCGGUCGGCGACGAAUUCUUCGGGCCUCUUUCCGACCCGUCUUGAAACACGGACCAAGGAGUCUAACAUGCGCGCGAGUCGCGGGGUGUCGAGCGUACCACGGUGCGCUCGUUACAUUACGAAACCCGUGUACAUGUAGAAGGCGUAAUGAAAGUGAAUGGGGAAGAUGGUGUUUCCGAGUUCACGUUCCGCGAUCGUCGGUAUCGCGGCCGGACACCCGCAUUCCCGGGGCGUCUCAACGGUGCGUCGUGCAACGCGGAUCAUCGACUCACGGGUCGGUGGUCGGUUCGCGAAAGAACCGA
rnacentral:rRNA from 2 species